UAGAGCAGACACAUUAGGGCACACUCAAUCCCAUGCCCCACGGUGCCACAGGGACAGAAUGUGUGUGCCAGGCACACGGUCACACACAUUUACAUACAUGACGUACAUUCAUCAUAGUACGGUAGAGCCACCACCACCUGCUAUGUACAUGCACAGUCAAGGUCACACAAACACACAGACGCUCUCAGGCACAGUCACACUCACGCCUGCUCAGAACACCUUGGAGUCACGGAGACACCCAGGACCCCCAGCUCUCCCCAUGCCCCGCCGAACCCUGAUGCCUGCUUCUCCCCUGGCUCCUUGAGAGUAACUGCACAGGAGGGCCCCAGAGGGGACCAGGCUGUUCCUGCACAAGGAGAAGGUCUCAUACCCAAGCACCUGCAAGGACUCAUAGUUCUCACUGUCUCAAAGUGCUCCUGAAGUCUGGCCUGCCUCCAUGCUGCUGCAGAUAGCAAAGUCCGCAGACUCUAGCCACAAAGGACUAGAGGGCGGGAGACGCUGCCGUUGCCAGGGGCACUCACCACCACCCUCGCUGGCCCCGAAAGUCUGGAGAGCUCUAGGAAGCAUGCAGAGUCUGGGUCUGACCCCACUCGGGUUGCAGUGAGUGCCAGGGUCAUGGCUACUGUCAGGGAGCCUUCUUGGACCCGGCCAUCCCUUCCAGUGCAGGCAGCCCUGACUCCCAGAA